GUCGUCACCGCGAACGUCAGUGGUUGCCCCGCCCUUGCCCUCGCCGCCUUCAGGGUUUAAAAGGAUCCCAUUUGCCUUUAGCCUAGAAUGCAGACACAAUGGCUGGUUACAGUGGCCAUCUUGCAACCAUGAGGCAAACUUUAGGGUGGAAGUUGUAUGCUAAGAAGGGCAAAGCAGCAAGAUAGAAGAAACCUGGGACUUGGAUGACUCCAUGGGCUUGUCAGGCCACCACUGGAUUCCCUACCUCUGCCUGCAAAAGAGAAAAAUAACCUCACAGUUUAUGAAUACUUCAUGUGCGAUUUGUGUCCUCAGUGCAUUUAGUGAUGUUAAGUUUGAUCAUUUGGUUCAAAUGGUAUCCACCAGACCUCUCCAUUUAUAAAGAUCCAUCUACCCUUCUCCACUGGCUCUGUGCCCAGGAGGCGGGCCUCUAUGGACUCUACCAAAAGGCUCCCGUGUCCUCUGGCUUCCAGGUGGGUUCUGCCUGUGGAGAGCCCCAGCAGUUGAACAGAGGGAGAUAGGAGGACUAAUUGGAGUACGUAGUUUCUGGCUGCCUUCCUUGCGUGGUCAUUUCGGGCUGGCUGCAUGCCUUCACAACGGUUACAGCUGCUAUCAGGCAACUCCACCUAUACAGCUCUCGGGUCUCCAGGUUCUUCGGAGCCUACAAGUGGUAAUAGAGCCCCACCGUUUUACCAGCCCUAUCUCUAGUGGUUUCCCUAUACCCUGCCCACACUUUUACAAAUGGUCCCUUAUUAAACUCUUCUUGAA